GAUGAACGCUGGCGGCGUGCCUAAUACAUGCAAGUCGAGCGAACAGACGAGGAGCUUGCUCCUCUGACGUUAGCGGCGGACGGGUGAGUAACACGUGGAUAACCUACCUAUAAGACUGGGAUAACUUCGGGAAACCGGAGCUAAUACCGGAUAAUAUAUUGAACCGCAGGGUUCAAUAGUGAAAGACGGUUUUGCUGUCACUUAUAGAUGGAUCCGCGCCGCAUUAGCUAGUUGGUAAGGUAACGGCUUACCAAGGCAACGAUGCGUAGCCGACCUGAGAGCGGGAUCGGCCACACUGGAACUGAGCCACGGUCCAGACUCCUACGGGAGGCAGCAGUAGGGAAUCUUCCGCAAUGGGCGAAAGCUUGACGGAGCAACGCCGCGUGAGUGAUGAAGGUCUUCGGAUCGUAAAACUCUGUUAUUAGGGAAGAACAAAUGUGUAAGUAACUAUGCACGUCUUGACGGUACCUAAUCAGAAAGCCACGGCUAACUACGUG
rnacentral:rRNA from 1 species